GAUCGGAGUGCUUGCACUCUGUGAAACAAGAUACAGGCUAGCGGCGGACGGGUGAGUAACACGUGGGUAACCUGCCCAAGAGAUCGGGAUAACACCUGGAAACAGAUGCUAAUACCGGAUAACAACAGAUGAUGCCUAUCAACUGUUUAAAAGAUGGUUCUGCUAUCACUCUUGGAUGGACCUGCGGUGCAUUAGCUAGUUGGUAGGGUAACGGCCUACCAAGGCGAUGAUGCAUAGCCGAGUUGAGAGACUGAUCGGCCACAUUGGGACUGAGACACGGCCCAAACUCCUACGGGAGGCAGCAGUAGGGAAUCUUCCACAAUGGACGCAAGUCUGAUGGAGCAACGCCGCGUGAGUGAAGAAGGGUUUCGGCUCGUAAAGCUCUGUUGUUGGUGAAGAAGGACAGGGGUAGUAACUGACCUUUGUUAGACGGUAAUCAAUUAGAAAGUCACGGCUAACUACGUGCCAGCAGCCGCGGUAAUACGUAGGUGGCAAGCGUUGUCCGGAUUUAUUGGGCGUAAAGCGAGUGCAGGCGGCUCGAUAAGUCUGAUGUGAAAGCCUUCGGCUCAACCGGAGAAUUGCAUCAGAAACUGUCGAGCUUGAGUACAGAAGAGGAGAGUGGAACUCCAUGUGUAGCGGUGAAGUGCGUAGAUAUAUGGAAGAACACCGGUGGCGAAGGCGGCUCUCUGGUCUGUUACUGACGCUGA
rnacentral:rRNA from 1 species